rnacentral:lncRNA from 1 species
UCUUCUAUCUGCCCCUACCUUGGGCCCCAAAUGACUCAGCACUAAAGUGCCUUGAGCAGGCUCCAGCCCAAAAGUGGCCUCCACGGGCAGUACUUCCCACUCUGCUGCACUGCCUUGCUUUCCUCCUGGCGGGGAAGAAAGAAGGAAGGAAAGAAGACCCAGAGCUGGAAUCAUACACAUCAUCGCAAUUCAUCCACACCGCAGUCCUGUAAGAAGGCUACAAAACAUACAGCAGAAAGGAUGGCUUGAAGGCAACUGAUGUUUGUAAAUAAAUUCACAACAAGGUCCAAGCUGAAGAGGUGAACACAUCAACCGGGUUGGACAAUUCUCAGCAUGUGCAAACAUAGGCAAAUUCUAGCCUAUGUUACAUUGAAAACAAUGGAUAGAAAGGAGGUCAUUCGAAGAGAUGAUGGCACGGGACCCAGGACCUGAGGAAGCUGCAGUGGGUGAAGGGGAGAAACAGAGGAGCAGGGGCUGGAGAAAGAGUGGGGAGUCAUCAACCACCCUCCUUUCUCCUGGCGUCUGGUUUUCGGGGCCCAGAGGUCUUCUCUAGGGCCUCAGAGAAGCUUCCAAGUCUGUUCAUUUCUCUUUCCCCACCCCUGCUUGUAUCACAAAUAAAGAAAUUAUUGACAACUGA